CAUACCGGUGCCUUGUAAAAGAGGAGAAUAGGGAAGCAGGUGUAAAUCCUGCACGAACUCGUCACUGUGAAUGGAGAUUUCGUAGCAUAUGUCACUGGAUAACCGGGAAGGCGCUUCGAAGUAUUAUCCUAAGUCAGGAGACCUGCCGGUAUG
rnacentral:ncRNA from 1 species